CAUUUUCAGAGUCUCCACAGAUUAUCAAGCAAGGCUGUGGCCACAACAGACUUGACUGGAACUUGAGGCUCACACGAGACUGUGGAGUGUCGAGAAUAAGCCAGCAACCAAAGAUCACCCAGGAAGAACGAAGUACCAGGCCCUGUGUGACCCACCCUCCUCUCAUGGAUUCAAGCCAAGUCACACAAAGUGCCAUGCUGAGCUCCCGGCCAGGACAAGGCUGUGGCUUUGGCUCUUCCUGACUCUGGGAUGACAGAAGACGCUGUUGUGUUUCAGAUUUCCUGCUACUUUCAAAAUGCCUGGAGUGGACCUGAGUAUUCUCAUCUGUGAGGGUUGAAGAUAAACAGAUUUUUCUUUGAUGUCCUACUUAGAUGUGUAACAUGGGCUCAUCUUGAGUUUUUCCAAAUUAUCUUGAUGCUGGAAAGACUUCUCGUGUGUCUUAAAGCCCUCAAGAGAACACUUAUUUCACACCAGUCAUAAGUACUUCACACCAGACCCACAAAAGUCCUGUUUCGUCCCAAGUAUUAGAAGAUAGAUUGCUUCUUUUUUCAUGUAGUCUUCAGAAGUUAAAGGUCUUGACAACUGGCUAAUCUACCCAUUCAAGAAAUAUUAUGGGACCUUUCUACAUUGUAGCUACACAGUAUCUGAAUCAUGGUCUCUGUCCUUUACUCAAGCCAAGGUCUGUGGGUGCCCUGGGUUUGCUACCAGUCUGUUACUUAAAGUAGGUUAACAACUCAGUAUCCUGUCAAAUUAUUUUCUUUGGAAAUAUGCUCCUAGUCUGAGAAAAUG